rnacentral:rRNA from 1 species
CACGUAGGGAGCAAGCGUUGUCCGGAUUUAUUGGGCGUAAAGAGCUCGUAGGUGGUUCGGUAAGUCAGGUGUGAAACCUCCAGGCUCAACCUGGAGACGCCACUUGAUACUGCUGUGACUGGAGUCCGGUAGGGGAGCGUGGAAUUCCUGGUGUAGCGGUGAAAUGCGCAGAUAUCAGGAGGAACACCAGCGGCGAAGGCGGCGCUCUGGGCCGAUACUGACGCUGAGGCGCGAAGGCGUGGGGAGCAAACAGG